ACGAUGCGGCUCAAUCGUACGGCGCUUCCGGGUACUCGAGCGGCGAACGGGUGAGUAACACGUGAGCAACCUGCCCCAGGCUUUGGGAUAACCCUCGGAAACGGGGGCUAAUACCGAAUAUGACUUCUGGCCGCAUGGCUGGGGGUGGAAAGUUUUUCGGCUUGGGAUGGGCUCGCGGCCUAUCAGCUUGUUGGUGGGGUAAUGGCCUACCAAGGCGACGACGGGUAGCCGGCCUGAGAGGGCGACCGGCCACACUGGGACUGAGACACGGCCCAGACUCCUACGGGAGGCAGCAGUGGGGAAUAUUGCACAAUGGGCGGAAGCCUGAUGCAGCGACGCCGCGUGAGGGAUGACGGCCUUCGGGUUGUAAACCUCUUUCAGCAGGGACGAAGCGAGAGUGACGGUACCUGCAGAAGAAGCACCGGCCAACUACGUGCCAGCAGCCGCGGUAAGACGUAGGGUGCGAGCGUUGUCCGGAUUUAUUGGGCGUAAAGAGCUCGUAGGCGGCUUGUCGCGUCGACUGUGAAAACCCGCGGCUCAACCGCGGGCCUGCAGUCGAUACGGGCAGGCUAGAGUUCGGUAGGGGAGACUGGAAUUCCUGGUGUAGCGGUGAAAUGCGCAGAUAUCAGAGGAACACCGGUGGCGAAGCGGGUCUCUGGGCCGAUACUGACGCUGAGGAGCGAAAGCGUGGGGAGCGAACAGGAUUAGAUACCCUGGUAGUCCACGCUGUAAACGUUGGGCGCUAGGUGGUGGGGGGCUCUCGGUUCCCUGUGCGCAGCUACGCAUAAGCGCCCCCGCUGGGGAGU
rnacentral:rRNA from 1 species